rnacentral:rRNA from 1 species
AUUGAACGCUAGCGGCAUGCCUUACACAUGCAAGUCGAACGGCAGCGCGGGGGCAACCCUGGUGGCGAGUGGCGAACGGGUGAGUAAUGCAUCGGAACGUGCCCAUCGAUGGGGGAUAACUGCGCGAAAGCGUUGCUAAUACCGCAUACGACCUACGGGUGAAAGCAGGGGACCGCAAGGCCUUGCGUCGAUGGAGCGGCCGAUGCCGGAUUAGCUAGUUGGUGAGGUAAAGGCUCACCAAGGCGACGAUCCCGUAGCUGGUCUGAGAGGACGACCAGCCACACUGGGACUGAGACACGGCCCAGACUCCUACGGGAGGCAGCAGUGGGGAAUCUUGGACAAUGGGCGAAAGCCUGAUCCAGCAAUGCCGCGUGUGGGAAGAAGGCCUUCGGGUUGUAAACCACUUUUGGCGGGAAAGAAAUGGUCUGUGCUAAUACCACGGAUUGAUGACGGUACCCGCAGAAUAAGCACCGGCUAACUACGUG